UGCCAAGUGCUGUAGACUCACUCGAUUUUCAGUCCCUAGAACUGAAGACAAAAAGAUGUUCACGUCAAUCAGAAAGCAUGCUGAACUUAUAGGUGGUCAUUCAAGACUUCACCGCAUAAGGCAGAGCUCUUCUGUUGAGGUGGACACCCGCAGCGAAAGCACCACAUCAUCUGAGGGCGCCUCCCGUACCCUGCUUAUCCACAGCCCCGUUGAGCUCAAGAGAGGCUGGAGGAGGCAGAAGAGGCACCUCUUCUUGUUCAGCGAUUUGCUGCUCAUGUCCAAUACCAAGUA